rnacentral:misc_RNA from 1 species
UUCUUCACUGCUCAAUUUACAUGCCUAUAAUUGAGAGUAGAAUGAAUUCUUGCCUAUUUAUUCAUGAUAACAUCAAAACUUAGACAAUAGUCUACAGGUAUACCUUAUAGGGAGGUAGUGAUGGCUGCCACGUAUCUCUUUCUGUCCUGGCAUUUUCCGCCCGUUGAAGUUGUUCGGCUUUUAGAUACAAAUGUACUUCCAUGUACCUUUUAAGUGCGACUGCUACAUGUCGGACUAUUUGUCUCGAUGCGCAUUCUUCGUCAUCAUUCAAGGCUGGAUCCUCGUCAAUACUUAGUAUGGAUAUACUUACUACAUUGUACAGUUUUCUAAGUCCAUCCUGUGCAUCAAAUUCUUCAAGGAUAACUUUGAAUGGAAAAGAGAAUCCAAAGAACAUAGUUGCAUGACACCUCCCAGAAUCAUGACUCCUCUCAAGUAACCAUAACGCAUAUUUCACUAAAUCAGUUAUUAUAUGUUUUGGCAAGAGGCAGACUCUUUCCAUAGCAUCUUCGCAAUAAGCGAGAUAGUAUAAGCAAAUAGACACACCAGUUGCCGCUACACUUGGUCGCGGUACGUCUAAAAGUUUUUGUAAACCACCCAUGUUCAAAAAUUCGAUGGAAAAUUUUUUGUGACACAAUAAAGAUGCCAAGUAUUUCAAUGCUUCAAAGGCCAAACGGCUAUCUUUAGUUUCUCGUACAUUUAUGUACUUUAAUAUCAAUUCCAAAGCAUUUUGUUCGAACACAUGCCCAAGAUUUUCUUGAUAUUCUCCCAUUGGUGUCAGGUACCUUAAAAUAAGCAUCUGACGGGUUGCUAAAGUUGGUGGAUGUAUCUGAACAUUGCCAAUAACGUAAGACUCCAUUUCAGCCCAGGAGGAGUUCGAAUUACUUUCCACCAAUGAGCAAGGUACACUUGUGACUUGAGUUUGCGAUCUAGACAAAUUAGAUCUGGCAGGUGUCAAUGUGGUGACCGGUCUUGGAGGUGUGAUACGAGAGUUUUGAUUUUUUGAGGGGGUGACUUGCAAGUUGGAGUUGCUAGUUGUUCUGGGAAUAGAUAAUGGCGGAGACAUAAUCUCUGGAUAAGAACUGUCACUUGCUUUCACAGGAGUUGAAAGAGCGUUGUCAGAAUUAUUUUGAGAUUUCAACUUUUUAUUGGGUGGCAGCUCAUCCGGACUAUGAGGACCAUCUUCUUCAUCAGAGCAUAAAAUUGAGUGUGUAGGGCUUUUUAGUGUUCCAUUCUCUCGUUUUCGCUCUCUGACUUUUCGCUUACCAGGAGUACCUUUGUGUUCAGAAUCACCUAAGCUAUU